AUUGAACGCUGGCGGCAGGCCUAACACAUGCAAGUCGAACGGUAACAGGAAGAAGCUUGCUUCUUUGCUGACGAGUGGCGGACGGGUGAGAAAUGUCUGGGAAACUGCCUGAUGGAGGGGGAUAACUACUGGAAACGGUAGCUAAUACCGCAUAACGUCGCAAGACCAAAGAGGGGGACCUUCGGGCCUCUUGCCAUCGGAUGUGCCCAGAUGGGAUUAGCUUGUUGGUGGGGUAACGGCUCACCAAGGCGACGAUCCCUAGCUGGUCUGAGAGGAUGACCAGCCACACUGGAACUGAGACACGGUCCAGACUCCUACGGGAGGCAGCAGUGGGGAAUAUUGCACAAUGGGCGCAAGCCUGAUGCAGCCAUGCCGCGUGUAUGAAGAAGGCCUUCGGGUUGUAAAGUACUUUCAGCGGGGAGGAAGGGAGUAAAGUUAAUACCUUUGCUCAUUGACGUUACCCGCAGAAGAAGCACCGGCUAACUCCGUG
rnacentral:rRNA from 1 species